CAUAUGUUUGGCUUGUCCACAUAGUUGCUCUGGUUAGACUACAGCUCGCAGCAAACUUUGGAGUGUGGUUUAGGCGUGGCUACUUUCAAAUACAGAUUCCAAGGACAAAUUGGUUCUCGACGUGCUCGUGAGUCAAGCUGAAUCACAGAAACCAGGACCUCCACAAAGGGAAGAAAUCUGACCAUAAUUUUGUGAAUUACGACAGAUGGACAUCUAUCAAGCUCCCAGUAAAGUAUUAAGUGUUAAACUCUGAUAGAGUGCAUUUUACUCUGUACAUGUGACCCUCUUGGAGUUAAAUUAACGCUGUCUAUUUUAUUGUGCACAGGAAUAUGCUUUCAGUGGAAAUUAGAUAUGUGGCAUUUUAAAGUCCUCAUAUGGAUGGCAUAUCUAUUGCUCCUGUUCUGUGGCCUCGCCUAUUCCUGUGGAAGUGCAGAAUAUGAAAUUUAUGGAGAGUGCUGUCUAAUGUGCACACCUGGGACACGUGUUUAUAAACACUGCACGGAGUACACUAGCACCUCCUGUGUACGAUGCACUCAAAAAUCAUUCAGCGCCGUUUCCAACAAUCUGCCCAAUUGUUUGUCUUGUUCAGUGUGUGAGCCAGACUUGGGUUUAAAAACAGAGAGGGAGUGCACCCUCACCUCUGACACAGUGUGUGGGCCUCUGGAUCACCACUACUGCACUAAGACUGUUAAUAAGAGGUGCAGCUUUGCGCAGAAACACACCAUCUGCAGGCCUGGACAAUUCAUCAUACACAACGGAACAACAUCGACUAAUACCAAAUGUGGAUACUGUCCUGAUAAAACUUUUUCAAAUGAAUACUUUUCUGCGUACUGCAAACCACACAGAGAUUGCCAGUCUUUGGGACUUCAGGAAAUUACAGCAGGAACAAAGACAUUGGACAGUCAAUGUGGACCAAGAAAUAUUCCUGUUUCCAUCGUUAUUUUGUGUCUUGUGUCUGUGCUGCUUGCUUUAGCUGUUAUUUUAGAAAUCAUUUCCAUUUUAAAGAGGACAAAGAAGAAGAGGCAACAGAUCUGACAGAACGUGAAAGAAUGAACAGGAUAGGCCAGCCACAGGAUGACGGGAGCAGAAGGCAGAACAUGGGUUGCAGGGAGGGCUGGAGCUGAUCCCAGCAUGUGGGCAAGAGGCAGGAAUGCUCCCUGGACCGGCUGCCAAUCCAUCGCAGGACCCUCACAGCAUUCACUCACGCAGUCAUGCCUAAAGGCAAUUUAUCACAAUCUUCAUGUCUUUGAACUAUGGGAGGAAACUGUAUCACAAGGAAACCCACAAUGACAUGGAGAGAAAAUGCAUCCACACAGAAAGGUGAUCCUAAUGACACGGACUGUGCAUUUUUUACUGAUGUUGAUUCAAAGGAGGAAUCUGCCAUGUGUGAAAUUAGACCUGCUUGAUCUGAAAAAGACAAGCUGGUGACAGUCGGAGGUAUGUGCGAUAAAUGGUUGGAGAUCCUGCAUAGUCACUGCAUGGAAUAGCUUGCCAGGCCAUGUCGUACAGGAAGAAACUGGGGGUUUUCAAGGCCAGGCUUGAUAUGGUGCAAGAUGCUAUCUAGUUUCUAGAUACACCGAGCACCAGGUGAACUUUAGUUGUAGGAAAAUGGCGAGCAAUCCUGGCCCUUAUCUUACAGUGGACAAAUGCCUUUUUCCACGUAGAGGACGCUAUCCCUUCAGGCAGUACACGCCAAACAAGCCUCCCAAAUAUGGUAGCAAACUUUUGGCAGCAUGUGAUGUGAAAUAUUACGAUACAUGGAAUAUGCAAGUCCAUACUGGACAACCACUGGGGGUGCACCUGAGAGGAAUCUGGGGAUACUGGGGUGUGGGAUUGUGAGUGACGGGUUGAAAAAUCAGGACAUCACGUGACAAUUUCUUCACAUCCCACCAACUUGGUGUUCAGCUACAAAACAGGAAGCUGACUUCCUGAGGAAAAAUAAACAAGAACUCUCCAACGAGCUUCUGAAUGCACAGGGCAGAGCAGUGGAAUCCUCUAAAUUUUUCCUCUGAAGUACCACUAUCGUGUUGUACUGCCCAAAGAAAAACAGUAAUGGCUUUUCAUGAGCAGAAUGCACAAAUGUUAUUAAUUAUUCAAUAAUGAAUAAUGAUAUUAGCAGUAAUUGUGACAGUAAUUUAAUUAUUCCCUUUAUUUCAAAUGUGGUGGUGUAGCAUAUACUUGUAACAUAACACCUUGGAAUUGGCAGCAAGGAAUGGCACAAGGACUGGCAGAUCCACCAAAAUCAGACAUGUUUGUGCUUAAAAGGCAACCCAGGCAGGUCAUAAAGCAUGUUUGCAGCAUUGUGAGGAACAACUAUGGAGCAAAUCCAUUAACAGAACUCGUCUCUGGAAGCAUGCAGACCAAACAAGGAUGAAAUCAGUCGUUGUCGCUGACAGGAGGGCUGAGCUCCGCUCAUACAACACCAUUUGGUCAGCUGUUCCGCGCAACAGGCACCAUCUGAGAAAAACUCCAAAUCAGACCCCAGAUCCGAAGCUGCUGGUGGAGGCCAAGAAUCGACAGAGCGAAUGCACGGAGCCAGAGAACCAGCCAGCACAGGCUCCACAGCACACCUGCAACCGGAGUUCACCUGUGGUGGGUCUCAGCAGAAGCAGUCCAGCUGUUGUGCCUCCUGGCUGGUACAAAGACUUGAGGCAAUACUGAAGGUUGCGCUCUACCAACCUGUGCUUGACCCUUUGACCCUAUCUGAGCAUUAAAAAGGGAGUUUUCAUAUGAGAGACUAACUAUAGGAAAAAAAUAUACAGCAAAUCAAGAUGGAAAACUGAGCUGACUGCUGUUUUUAACUUCAACUUCUACUUUAUGUCACUGGAAACUUCCUUUAUUCUCCUGGAGUUAACUAUUAUUUUAGUGAUUGUAAUGUAAUGUAAAAGGCUAUAGUUAAAAAACUAAGACAAUAUCCUGGUAUUUUCUGUUAGAAUAUGUUAUGCUCCAUCCAAUACAGACUUCAGUAAUGCGAUGAUAGGGUAAUCAGCAAUAAAGGCCAAAAGGGAAAAAAAUUA